rnacentral:sRNA from 1 species
AGCUACAUGCUAAUCCCUUUGAAUCUGGAGCUGACUUAGUCAUGUUUCUGCCUUCAGAGAGCUACCCAGUGGGGGAGAUGGACAUGCAGGGGAUGAGGCACCAGAGAGAACAUGACAGUCUCUGCCCUCAAGGAGCUUGGAGUCAAGAGAAAAGGGAGACAACUAAGCAAAAAUGCAUGAGGAGAUGAAGAGCAUGGGGGAAAUGAGGAAGCCCCUGUCCAGCCUGGGCGGGAGGGAGACGGUAAGGAAGUGGUAAUAGCAGAGACCUAUUCUGAGGAGUCCACUGUACCUGUGAAGAGCCUUGUCUGGCACAUGCUCCAGAAGUAUUCCAGGUGUACAUGGACGGAGGCCCUGGAUACUCGUACCCUGUCGACUGGUGGUCCCUGGGCGUCACAGCCUAUGAGCUGCUGCGGGGCUGGGUAAGACGGGCACCUGUGCGGUGCACACGAGGGGCUGUGCAGUGGGGGCUCAAGUUGUACCUGGACAGGCAGAGUCGGCAGGGCACACAGUGCAGGAAGGAGCACUGGUGGAGUCACCGCCCCCCAGGUUUCAGUCUUGAUGCCUGUGUGCCGCCUAUGAAUGCCCUGAGCUUUCUGGUCCAACCCUCUCAUUGUACAGAUGGGAAAGAGGCAUCCAGAGGGGGAGGGUCUUACACAAAGGCCCACAGCGGAUCAGUGACAAGGUCAAACAUCAAAGCGCCUUGGCCUCGUGGUUUCAAACACUGUCUUCUUUGAACCCACAACACAAGGUCUCCAUGUCUGAUUUUCUAGCUGAUUGGGAAAUCUUUAAAGGUGAAGACCAUGCUUCUUUUUUCUGUUUCACAUCUUCCCUGAAUAUGUAACUCAGUGUCCUAUAAAAAUGGGACAUUCAAUAUGUAUUUGUAUUUACUGCAUUUAAAUUUACUAGCUGAAGAUGAUUAAUGGGGCUAUUUGGUGGCUGUAAUAACACAUUUUUUUAUUUGAGCAG